AGAGUUUGAUCCUGGCUCAGGACGAACGCUGGCGGCGUGCUUAACACAUGCAAGUCGGACGGUCGGUACUGGAAGGUUCGCAGGAAGGUGCCGAUAGUGGCGGACGGGUGAGUAACGCGUGAGGACAUGGCAUCAGGAGGGGGAUAACGUUUGGAAACGGACGCUAAGACCCCAUAAGCCGGGAGGUGAAAGUGGCGGAAGCCAGCCUGAUGAGUGACUCGCGUCCUAUCAGCUAGUUGGCGGGGUGAAGGCCCACCAAGGCGAUGACGGGUAGCCGACCUGAGAGGGUGGCCGGCCACACUGGAACUGAGAUACGGUCCAGACUCCUACGGGAGGCAGCAGUAAGGAAUAUUGGUCAAUGGGCGCAAGCCUGAACCAGCCAUGCCGCGUGCAGGAAGACGGCCCUAUGGGUUGUAAACUGCUUUUAUCAGGGAAUAAACCCCCGCUCGUGAGCGGGGCUGAAGGUACCUGAAGAAUAAGCAUCGGCUAACUCCGUGCCAGCAGCCGCGGUAAUACGGAGGAUGCAAGCGUUAUCCGGAUUCAUUGGGUUUAAAGGGUGCGCAGGCGGAUUGGUAAGUCAGGGGUGAAAUCCCACAGCUCAACUGUGGAACUGCCUUUGAUACUGUCAGUCUAGAGUAUAGUUGAAGUUGGCGGAAUGUGUCAUGUAGCGGUGAAAUGCUUAGAUAUGACACAGAACACCGAUCGCGAAGGCAGCUAGCUAAGCUAUAACUGACGCUCAUGCACGAAAGCGUGGGGAUCAAACAGGAUUAGAUACCCUGGUAGUCCACGCUGUAAACGAUGAUUACUCGAUGUUGGCGAUACACAGUCAGCGUCUGAGCGAAAGCAAUAAGUAAUCCACCUGGGGAGUACGAUCGCAAGAUUGAAACUCAAAGGAAUUGACGG
rnacentral:rRNA from 1 species